UGGGCAACCUGCCCCUCUCUCUGGGAUAACCCCCGGGGAAACCGGAGCUAAUACCGGAUACGACACGCGAAGGCGUCUUCUGCGUGUAGAAAGAUUUAUCGGUCAGGGAUGGGCUCGCGGCCUAUCAGCUUGUUGGUGGGGUAACGGCCCACCAAGGCGACGACGGGUAGCUGGUCUGAGAGGACGGCCAGCCACAUUGGGACUGCGACACGGCCCAGACCUCCGUACGGGAGGCA
rnacentral:rRNA from 1 species